rnacentral:lncRNA from 1 species
CGCCUAUUCAUCCCCGACCCAGUUUCCUUCCCUGUGUUCCAAGGGUUGAAUUCUCUUCAGCCCUAAGCAGACACUCUGUUUGUUAUUUAAAUUAUUCAGUUUACAUAUUUAAGCAUCUGAAUUAUGCUUUAUUUACAACCGCGGGUCAGUUAACAAAUACAAGGCCCGCUGAGGUGGGCACGUCCCGCUGCGCAGGCUGUGCACUGUGCAAAUCUGGGAGCCACUGCUCACACUGGCGUCUUGGAUUUGUGUGUGGGUGAGGAUUAUGGUCUAAAACGUUGGGAAAAAAAUAAAUUAAUUUAAAAAAUAAAUAAAUAAAUAAAACGUCGGUCAGCCGUCUUCAGGAAGGGGCACGCUUGUGAAUUUGCAGGAGGCGCCCUGGGCCGUGUUCUGAGCAAGCGGCUCAAGCGCCGUCUCAGUCCUGGUGGAGCUCACGGUCUAGGAGGAGAAUCAGACGUCGAGGGCGACGGUGAGAGGGAUACGGACUUGGGGUGUGCUGGGGGGGCUGCAGGGGGCAGGGCGAGCGGGGGUGGGCUGGGAGGAGGGGGCGCCCGGCCCAGGCCUUGGCCGCGUGGAAGGCCUGAGGCAGCAGGAUGUCCCUGCGAAGGGAGGGCCCCGCGGACUCACGGUCUGGGCCCAGCAGAGCAGGGAUCUGCGACCUCGGAGGAGCCCCCAGGGCCUGUGGCUGACCGUCCCCAAGAGGGGACACUGCCGGCAGGACAGGGGACGGGCAGGAGGCCGAGGCCGGCCACCUCCCCGCACGGCACCUUCCCACCUGCGUCGGCUCUGAUCAGUGUGGCCUCGAGCAAGUUGCGGACCCUCUCUGAGCCUCUGUUUCCUCAUCUGUCAGGCACAAGCAGAGGACCUCACGGGGCACCGCCGUCCCCCCACGCCUCCCUGCGUGCAGGACAGUGGGCCCCCCGACCCCGAGCUGUCCUCCGCACGUCAGCAGGAAACAUGGGACACAAGCCCUCAUUUGGGGCCGAGAACCAGAGCGUCCGCGGGGAGGGCUGGCAGCUGUCAGUCACUGGCAGCGAGCAA